rnacentral:rRNA from 1 species
GCGAAGCUAUGAACCGAAGCCCCAGUAAACGGCGGCCGUAACUAUAACGGUCCUAAGGUAGCGAAAUUCCUUGUCAGGUAAAUUCUGACCCGCACGAAUGGCGUAACGACUUGGGCGCUGUCUCAACGAGAGAUCCGGUGAAAUUUUAAUACCUGUGAAGAUGCAGGUUACCCGCGACAAGACGGAAAGACCCCAUGGAGCUUUACUGCAGCUUGAUAUUGAAUUUGGGUACGAUCUGUACAGGAUAGGUGGGAGCCGU